rnacentral:rRNA from 1 species
GAGAGUACCUAGUGCGUAGCCUUGACAACCUAAACGAAUCUAGCUUGUCGACGCCGGGACGCCCACGGGAUAGGAAAAUAGAGGAGAGAGAGGAAUAGGAAGUGUGCGUGCGGAUGGGUAGCUUCGGUGGCGUAUGGUGCGGCGUUCAGCGGCGGGUCCUAGCAAGGGAGGAGGGGUGGUCCGAGCUCCUCCGCCGGUACUCCUCGCGCGUCGGCGGCGUUAGGACCCGUCUAGAUCGGCCCCAGCAGCCGUCGGUAGGUAGGGAGGCCCGCCGGUACUUCUUAACUUCGCCGAACGCGCCUUGAUCGCGUACCUGGUACGCGCGGAGGGCGCGAUCCUCGGUGGCCAGGAGCAGUAGAUGAUCGUAGGUGUUCCUUAGCUAGGUAUAAAUUCGAUGGAAGGUGUUAUUAGGUAGGUUGUCCGACGAACGAACAAACACAUGAUCACGGUUCCCCUCGUUCUACGUUCCUGCUGUAGCUCCCAUGUACGGGCGACGAUUAACUAAGAGGACCAUUAUUAUCAUCAUGCAUGCACAAGGACGGGUACCACCUCUACGUAUAUGGGCUUAUGAGCAUUGAAUAGGUAUGUAUGAGUUUAUGAGAGUUUGACCGUGCAUAUGUAUGUAUGGGCUUAUGGACACGCUAAAAAAUUAAGUCGAUUUAUCCAGAUGACUAACAGUUUAAACCAUCAUCUUUAACACUUCUCGUUGUGGCUGUACAUGAAAUGACUAUCCCUUACAUCCACAUUAUGUAUCACGAAAAGUACCAUUCCCAAGAUCAUGUACAUACUAGUAAAAUCACAUCAUAUAGGGUUGAAGUGAUACUUUUAUGUCGUCUUUGAACAGACAAAUAAAGUGAAGUUAAUAAUAUAAAACAGCAUAGAGUUAGAGUAUACGAACAAACUAUAUAUUAGGUUACCCACUAUCGUAGUGAAAAAUGUUGAUGGGUAGUCCCAAUGGAAAAAUAAAUCCAUUUACAUUCUGAAGUAGUGGAAAAUGGUUCAUAGGUAGGACCAAUGUAAUACGCGUUUUAUCCAAGGUUUAAAUUAAGGUCCCGCUGACGUGUCCCGGGGGUUUUUAAUCCCAAGAACAGACUACGAAAUAGAACAUAAGCCAAACAGAACUACGAAAUAGAGACCACCAAGAACAGACUACGUGUGACAAGAAACUCCCGGCAACUGCUCCUAUACGCUCCACCCGCUGACGUGUCCCGGGGGUUUUUAAUCCCCCGAAGUUUAGUACAUAUACACAAGAAGUAGCGGUACCUAGACUCUUACGGGCUUGACGAACAAAAACAACCUCUUCUCUCUUGUACUUCUUCUCCCUGGACCCAGCACCCGGGGAAACCGCUUCCCCAUUCACGGAUGACGUCCAGACCAAGUUGGUCGACCUGAACACGCUAAGUCGGUGAAGAAGUCCCUCGGUGUUUUUUGGUCAGUCACGUGGACUAGCUUUAUGCUCUCCCCUUUCGGGAUCUACCUGCUGCACCAGUACCGACUGCCGGCGUGGCUAUGCUCGCCGUAGGAACCAAGGAGACGCACAGGAUCCCGCCGCUCCGGGUACUAGAGCAGGUACCUCGUGACAUCGUAGUAACAACACGGAGACGAUAGUAGGCAGCGGUCUUGUUCGUCCGUACAUGCAAAGGGAACGGACCGCGUAAGGGUAUCAGUUACACGGUUGCUUCUCCUAACUGUCUAUUCUUUCAUCAGGUUUGAAAGUUUUAUGGAAAAAAUCUCUAGAUCAGGAUUAUUCUGAGGUCCACGUUCCAAUUGACAAUAAAGAAGUUCACGCGAGAUUGACAAUAAAGAAGUUCACGCGAGUAUGUUCGACUUGUUCCUUAAGAGUUUACAAAUUUCGUUACCUAGGUUUCUAGAUCGAGCUGACCUGAGAUCUAGUGCCUGUCAAUCAGAACCGGAAUUAAUCCUACCGAUUUAAUGUAAACUCAUAGUAAACUACCUAUAAACGAUACUCUUAAUACUUAAAAUACUUAGAUAUAUAAUAUGCAUACCAAAACUUAUAACAUUAACUUACGAACAUAAAAAAAUACCAACGUUAUCCGAUAAUGGUGUUGGGUGAAAGCCAACGGUGUACAAUCGUAGUACUUUUCAAAUUUAACAGCGUUAUCAAAGACCGUUGUUUGUAAAGUGGACAACACAAUGGAUAAAUAGUGGUGGUUUUGAUCAUACAACGUUA